GUAAUCAGAAUCAAUAGCAAACUGGUUCAUAAAUGGAGUGUGUGGGCUGCAGAUUUUGCUGUCACGCCCUGUACUGUAAGGUUAAAGACUAGACAGGGCUACAAGGUUUAGUGGUUGAAAAGCCAUUAUGAGUUCCUCUCACCAAGCCAGUACAAUCAGAUAGUACGAAAAGCUAAUUUAUUGGAUUUUGAAUUUCAGACCAAAGAGACAAGAACUAAUAAUGGAAGAAAAAUCAAGAUUAAAGGUCCACACUCUAGGGUUCUUUUGGGUUCUGUUUGUGGUCCUUGUAAGAAAUUCAACUGAUGUUCAUUCAAAACAGCAAUACCGAAGAACUCAGAAGUAAUAAUAAUGGAAGAAUCAGCAGGCGAAGGCCCAAAGGAUAAGUCCAGGGUUUUGAAUGUAAAGCCCUUGCGGACUCUUACUCCAGUAUUCUCUUCACCAUCAAAAUCCAGUUCUUUUUCUCAAAGUUCUGUCCCUUUUGUUUGUGUUCCCCCAGCUGGUCCUUUCCCACCUGGAGUUUUCCCGUUCUUUCCAUUUUCUGGUAUACCUAAUCAAUCUUCCGGUGACCACACCGCAAUAUCAUCAGCAGUUCCUAUCAAUUCGUUUCGGUCACCUGAGCCCCUUGGAUGUGCUGCAAAUGGAAAUGCCGGGUCAUCAGGGAGGGCUAAUAGAAACAAUAGGGGUGUGGAAGAAGAUGGGUAUAGCGAUGACCAAACGCCGAGUUCGCAGGGUAGAUAUCAGAAGAAGAAAAAAGGCAGCCAUGAUAAAUUUGCUUCUCCUGAUGUUGACACAGACGUGAUGGUAGAAAAUAUUUUCCAGUCCUAUAACCUUGUGCAAUUUGAAGCAGCACGACUAUAUGAUGGCGAUAAAGAUUCUGUAGGAUAUGUACUCCUGGUUUUCAAUUUGCUCCGAAGACAAAUAGCACAGCUUGAAGAUACAAAGGAAGCCACAUCAGGGCAAUCAAGGCGCCCUGACUUGAAAACAGGUAAUGUUUUGAUGACCAAAGGAAUUCGGACGAAUGCCAAGAAGAGAGUUGGAGCUGUACCUGGUGUUGAAAUUGGUGAUAUUUUCUUUUUUAGAAUGGAAUUGUGCACAAUUGGACUCCAUGCUCCAAGUAUGGCUGGAAUAGAUUACAUGUCUUUCAGGAUCAGUCAAGAUGAAGAACCAAUAGCUGUUAGCAUUGUUUCAUCUGGAGGAUAUGAAGAUGAUGUUGACGGUGAUGAUGGUUUGAUUUACACAGGCCAAGGUAAGGAAAUGGAUCAAAAGCUUGAAAGGGGUAACCUUGCGCUGGAGAAGAGCUUGCACCGUGGUAAUGACAUUAGAGUAAUCAGGGGUAUAAAGGAUGUGGGAAAUCCAACUGGAAAGGUAUAUAUGUAUGAUGGUUUAUAUAGAAUCCAAGAGUCAUGGUUAGAGAAAGGAAAGUCUGGUUCCAAUGUUUUUAGGUAUAAGUUGGGUAGGUUACCUGGCCAGCCUGAGGCAUACAAAACAUGGAAAAAAAUUCAGCAAUGGAAGGAUGGUACUAUUACUAGGUUUGGGAUUAUACUGCCUGAUCUUACUUCAGGGUGUGAAACUUUUCCUGUUUCUCUUGUGAAUGAUGUUGACAAUGAAAAGGGGCCUGCCUAUUUCACUUAUUCUCCACACCUCAAGUAUUCAAAACCUGCACCAAGGGAUCCUUUUGUUGGCUGUGCUUGCAAUGGUGCAUGUCUCCCUGGAAACGAGAAAUGUGAUUGUAUUCAGAAAAAUGGAGGCUAUCUUCCUCACAUUGUGAAUGGGGUUAUUGUGAACCAAAAAUCUGUGAUAUAUGAGUGUGGUCCAUCCUGUCAGUGCCUUCCAACUUGCCGUAAUCGUGUGUCUCAGGGUGGUUUGAGAGUUCGUUUGGAGGUGUUUAAGACUAAGAACAAAGGUUGGGGUUUAAGAUCCUGGGAUCCUAUACGAGCUGGAGCUUUUAUAUGUGUAUAUGCAGGAGAAGUUGUUGAUGAUCCUGCACAAGAGCUUGCAGGUGAAAAUAAAGAUGAUCACAUCUUUGAUGGUUCCCGCACUUACCAGCCAGUUGAAAUUUUGCCUGGUGAUUCCAAUAAUGCUCCAAACCUCCCAUUUCCUCUUAUAAUAAAUGCCAGAAAUGCUGGGAAUGUAGCUCGUUUUAUAAAUCACAGUUGCUCUCCAAAUCUGUUCUGGCAGCCAGUUUUACGUGGAAAUUGCAAGGAGUUUGAUCUCCAUAUCGCGUUUUAUGCCAUCAGACACAUUCCUCCUAUGACAGAGUUGACAUAUUGUUAUGGGAUGGUACUUCCUGAAAAAGCAGAUUGUGGGAAGAGAAAAUGCUUAUGUGGAUCACCAAAGUGCAGAGGUUUUUUCUAUUGAUAGUCCAUUUACUGGAGUAUUUGGAUAAGGAUGGCCUUGCUAACUCAUGUUUCUGGAAGAAGAUGUCUGAAGCAGGUCUCCACAAGGCCAUCCAGGGAGGAUUCUUUUAAUGAUCCUCUCGUUGCAUGUAUUUGUUUGCAAGAAGGGAGAGCACUAGCUUCAUCUUGUGAUGGGUGAUAAACAUCAUAAGCAAAUCAUGCAGAUUUACUGUCAUUCAUAGUAAAAGAUAUCUUAAGAUUUUGGUUUUCCUAGAUUUUUACCAGACCUCUUAUUUAUAGAUUCAUGAUUGGAGAAGAUUGGAUACCGGAUCACACAACUCCGGUUUGAUAGUAGAUGCAAUUAAAACAUUUCAUAAUUCAUCUGGAUUGUAUUGCCGCCCCUAUGCUUGAACGUGUUCUUUUUUAUGUACAUAUGCAUUUUGGUUGGCCGUAUUUACCUUUCAAAACUGAAUUCUCAGCAUUUUCGUAUUCACUUUUCCACCAUCAGCUAUUUUGCAGUCCAUGGCAAGAAAAAGCUUCAGGAUGUCUCAGCAAAGGCCUGUCUCUUCACCAGCUGUUGUUGUUGUAUGGUUUCUGCUCUGUGCAUGAAUGAAGACCAAAUAUAUCUUCCAUGACUGGAGCAGACAGGCCCGUGAAAGGUUUUCUUUUGUUGUACUAAACUUGUGUUGCUGUAACAUGAAACAAUAGGAUGCAGACUUGUAACUUACUUUAGCUGUUAUCCCUCUGCGUAAUGUUCCUAGAUUAAAGUAGUCCUCGCCUGUUUUAUCCAGUGUGCUCCUUGUAUUCAAUAAUAGAGUGGGGUGCCAAGAAGGUAUCCUAGUUGCACUCAAUUUUUCUGUUAACAUCAUUUGAUAUGCUCUUGGUUGCA